rnacentral:rRNA from 1 species
AGUCGAACGCUUUUUCUUUCACCGGGAGCUUGCUCCACCGAAAGAAAAAGAGUGGCGAACGGGUGAGUAACACGUGGGUAACCUGCCCAUCAGAAGGGGAUAACACUUGGAAACAGGUGCUAAUACCGUAUAACACUAUUUUCCGCAUGGAAGAAAGUUGAAAGGCGCUUUUGCGUCACUGAUGGAUGGACCCGCGGUGCAUUAGCUAGUUGGUGAGGUAACGGCUCACCAAGGCAACGAUGCAUAGCCGACCUGAGAGGGUGAUCGGCCACACUGGGACUGAGACACGGCCCAGACUCCUACGGGAGGCAGCAGUAGGGAAUCUUCGGCAAUGGACGAAAGUCUGACCGAGCAACGCCGCGUGAGUGAAGAAGGUUUUCGGAUCGUAAAACUCUGUUGUUAGAGAAGAACAAGGAUGAGAGUAGAACGUUCAUCCCUUGACGGUAUCUAACCAGAAAGCCACGGCUAACUACGUGCCAGCAGCCGCGGUAAUACGUAGGUGGCAAGCGUUGUCCGGAUUUAUUGGGCGUAAAGCGAGCGCAGGCGGUUUCUUAAGUCUGAUGUGAAAGCCCCCGGCUCAACCGGGGAGGGUCAUUGGAAACUGGGAGACUUGAGUGCAGAAGAGGAGAGUGGAAUUCCAUGUGUAGCGGUGAAAUGCGUAGAUAUAUGGAGGAACACCAGUGGCGAAGGCGGCUCUCUGGUCUGUAACUGACGCUGAGGCUCGAAAGCGUGGGGAGCGAACAGGAUUAGAUACCCUGGUAGUCCACGCCGUAGACGAUGAGUGCUAAAUGUUGGAGGGUUUCCGCCCUUCAGUGCUGCAGCAAACGCAUUAAGCACUCCGCCUGGGGAGUACGACCGCAAGGUUGAAACUCAAAGGAAUUGACGGGGGCCCGCACAAGCGGUGGAGCAUGUGGUUAAUUCGAAGCAACGCUAAAAACCUUACCAGGUCUUGACAUCCUUUGACACUCUAAAGAUAAACUUCCCCUUCGGGGGCAA